UGACUACUAGUUUCCCACAGGAGAAAUUUG
rnacentral:piRNA from 1 species